UCUAUUUCUGGAAAUUUUAGGCUCCAGUUUUUGUUGUUGUUUUUAAUAAAAUGCAAUGGAAUGUAAUGAUCAUCACUUUUCAUUAUGCUUUAAAAUCUAGUAAAUGGAGGCUAGAACACUCCUCUAAGGCAAGAAUAUUUUCUCUCUGUUGGAACUCAAAUACACAGAACGGGGUAAAUCUUAAUCUUUGAUGCAGGACAUAACAUGGCUCUCUUUUAUUUGCUUUCUUUAAUUGUUUUUUAAUAAUGUGGUAAGCAUUUCUGAAUCUCCUAUCCAAUACGAAAACUAGGACAAUACAGACAGUAAUUCCUAUGGUUACAAUGAACACUCCUCUCCAUUUAAAUUAAUUAUUUACACUGAUGAAGUUGAAAUAGCAAAAUUUUAAUGACUAAAUACUGUCUUUGAUUUUUUGUUCCAGGUCUGUCAAUAUUAACUUCUUAUAAUUUUCUUUUUUUUCUUUGUGUGUGUACCGUGUGUGUGUGUGUGUGUGUGUGUGUGUGUGUGUGUGAGACAGAGAAAAGUUGUGGAGAAAUGGGGGGCUGAUUCUGCUCAGAUUCAUCAGGAUGAGUAGAAGGCACCCAGCUCUCACCCUGGCCUGACAUGUGUGUCCCCGAGCAGGUUAUAGCCCUCUCUGAGCCUCUGCUUCUCAUCUGGACCCUGCUGGGAGGGCUUCUGAGCUCCUUAGCACUAGCAGGAGGGGCUCCAGGGGCCCUCCCUCCAUGGCAGCCUGGACAGGACUCUCAAAUGAGGACAGCCCAGCUCGUGGGGGGCUCCCACCGACCCAUCGUGGGCCCGGGGGAGGCAGAGCCUGGGCCAAGAGCAGUGGUGCUGUGGACCGUGGAUCCUGAGGGUGGCCUGGGGCAAGUACUGGCUGAGGGUCCAGGUGGGCUUCGUGUACCUUUGGGUCCUGGGGCCCUGGUGACUUGGACCCGUCCUCCCCAGAACUUGGACUCCAGGUUAGAGUCAAGUGACAGGAGAGAGGCUUGUGGGGCCCUGUGCUUCCGACUUCAUUUCGAGUGAUGGCAGUUCCCAGGAAGGAAUCCACAGCUGACGGUGGCUGACAGAUCAGAGAAUGGAAGGUGAGGCAGGCGGGCAUCUGCGUGACCUCAGGUGCUUGGGGCCCAGCAGACCCAGAGAACCAUUUCCACUAGGCCAGGGUGCCAGAAGUGUCCACAGGUCUUAGAUUCCCUGUUCAGAUGAAAAGAUUUGUGCCUUUAAUUAUAAAAGUGAUCUGCAUAGAGUCAAAAAUUGAAGCAAUGGGUAUAAAAUGCAAGUAAAAUCCCUGCCCUCACCUAUCCCACCCUACUACACAGAGAUGUCCUCUCAAGUUUCCUAGACUCUUUCUGGAAAUUUCUGUAUAUGCACAGAAGCUUGUGCCUCUGCUUGUGAAGGCAGAGGGAGGGAGAGCUGAAGGGCCAGCACCUUCUCACCUGUGGGCCCCCUCAGUGCUCGGUCCCAGAACAUUCAGGACUGUGCGUUGUGUUCAGUUUGCUGGUCUGACUUCAUGCUCCUCGGUCAGGAUAUGUAUGUGGCAUGCUAGGAGACAUGUGGAUGUGAAGCUGGGGGACACUGUCCCCUGGCUGUGCCUUUGCAAGGGGAGUAAGGAAGGCAGGAGGUGAGCCUGGGAGGAAGGGAGGGAGGCGCGGAGCCGCCGCAGGUGUUUCUUUUACUGAGUGCGGCCAUGGGCCGCAUUCAGGUUUUGCUUUUCACCUUCCGAUCUGUGAAAGAGUGAGCAGGAAAAAGCAAAA